rnacentral:rRNA from 1 species
UACGAAGGGGGCUAGCGUUGCUCGGAAUCACUGGGCGUAAAGCGCACGUAGGCGGCUUCUUAAGUCAGGGGUGAAAUCCCGGGGCUCAACCCCGGAACUGCCCUUGAAACUGGAGAGCUAGAAUCUUGGAGAGGCGAGUGGAAUUCCGAGUGUAGAGGUGAAAUUCGUAGAUAUUCGGAAGAACACCAGUGGCGAAGGCGACUCGCUGGACAAGUAUUGAGCGGCUGAGGUGACGAAAGCGUGGGGAGCAAACAGG